GGCUCCGAGGUGUUUAACAUGUCAAACUGCAAAUUUGAAGUAGGCCGCUGCCCGGGGCUU
rnacentral:tRNA from 1 species